GAUGAACGCUGGCGGCGUGCCUAAUACAUGCAAGUCGAGCGAACAGACGAGGAGCUUGCUCCUCUGACGUUAGCGGCGGACGGGUGAGUAACACGUGGAUAACCUACCUAUAAGACUGGGAUAACUUCGGGAAUCCGGAGCUAAUACCGGAUAAUAUAUUGAACCGCAUGGUUCAAUAGUGAAAGACGGUUUUGCUGUCACUUAUAGAUGGAUCCGCGCCGCAUUAGCUAGUUGGUAAGGUAACGGCUUACCAAGGCAACGAUGCGUAGCCGACCUGAGAGGGUGAUCGGCCACACUGGAACUGAGACACGGUCCAGACUCCUACGGGAGGCAGCAGUAGGGAAUCUUCCGCAAUGGGCGAAAGCUUGACGGAGCAACGCCGCGUGAGUGAUGAAGGUCUUCGGAUCGUAAAACUCUGUUAUUAGGGAAGAACAGAUGUGUAAGUAACUAUGCACGUCUUGACGGUACCUAAUCAGAAAGCCACGGCUAACUACGUG
rnacentral:rRNA from 1 species